UUUAUAUGAGAGUUUGAUCCUGGCUCAGGAUGAACGCCGGCGGUGUGCCUAAUACAUGCAAGUCGUACGCACUGGCCCAACUGAUUGAUGGUGCUUGCACCUGAUUGACGUUGGAUCACCAGUGAGUGGCGGACGGGUGAGUAACACGUAGGUAACCUGCCCCGGAGCGGGGGAUAACAUUUGGAAACAGAUGCUAAUACCGCAUAACAACAAAAGCCACAUGGCUUUUGUUUGAAAGAUGGCUUUGCUAUCACUCUGGGAUGGACCUGCGGUGCAUUAGCUAGUUGGUAAGGUAACGGCUUACCAAGGCGAUGAUGCAUAGCCGAGUUGAGAGACUGAUCGGCCACAAUGGAACUGAGACACGGUCCAUACUCCUACGGGAGGCAGCAGUAGGGAAUCUUCCACAAUGGGCGCAAGCCUGAUGGAGCAACACCGCGUGAGUGAAGAAGGGUUUCGGCUCGUAAAGCUCUGUUGUUGGAGAAGAACGUGCGUGAGAGUAACUGUUCACGCAGUGACGGUAUCCAACCAGAAAGUCACGGCUAACUACGUGCCAGCAGCCGCGGUAAUACGUAGGUGGCAAGCGUUAUCCGGAUUUAUUGGGCGUAAAGCGAGCGCAGGCGGUUGCUUAGGUCUGAUGUGAAAGCCUUCGGCUUAACCGAAGAAGUGCAUCGGAAACCGGGCRACUUGAGUGCAGAAGAGGACAGUGGAACUCCAUGUGUAGCGGUGGAAUGCGUAGAUAUAUGGAAGAACACCAGUGGCGAAGGCGGCUGUCUGGUCUGCAACUGACGCUGAGGCUCGAAAGCAUGGGUAGCGAACAGGAUUAGAUACCCUGGUAGUCCAUGCCGUAAACGAUGAGUGCUAGGUGUUGGAGGGUUUCCGCCCUUCAGUGCCGGAGCUAACGCAUUAAGCACUCCGCCUGGGGAGUACGACCGCAAGGUUGAAACUCAAAGGAAUUGACGGGGGCCCGCACAAGCGGUGGAGCAUGUGGUUUAAUUCGAAGCUACGCGAAGAACCUUACCAGGUCUUGACAUCUUGCGCUAACCUUAGAGAUAAGGCGUUCCCUUCGGGGACGCAAUGACAGGUGGUGCAUGGUCGUCGUCAGCUCGUGUCGUGAGAUGUUGGGUUAAGUCCCGCAACGAGCGCAACCCUUGUUACUAGUUGCCAGCAUUAAGUUGGGCACUCUAGUGAGACUGCCGGUGACAAACCGGAGGAAGGUGGGGACGACGUCAGAUCAUCAUGCCCCUUAUGACCUGGGCUACACACGUGCUACAAUGGACGGUACAACGAGUCGCAAGCUCGCGAGAGUAAGCUAAUCUCUUAAAGCCGUUCUCAGUUCGGACUGUAGGCUGCAACUCGCCUACACGAAGUCGGAAUCGCUAGUAAUCGCGGAUCAGCAUGCCGCGGUGAAUACGUUCCCGGGCCUUGUACACACCGCCCGUCACACCAUGGGAGUUUGUAACGCCCAAAGUCGGUGGCCUAACCUUUAUGGAGGGAGCCGCCUAAGGCGGGACAGAUGACUGGGGUGAAGUCGUAACAAGGUAGCCGUAGGAGAACCUGCGGCUGGAUCACCUCCUUUCUAAGGAA
rnacentral:rRNA from 1 species